ACGUACACUCCUACGGGAGGCAGCAGUGGGGAAUAUUGCACAAUGGGCGCAAGCCUGAUGCAGCCAUGCCGCGUGUGUGAAGAAGGCCUUCGGGUUGUAAAGCACUUUCAGCGGGGAGGAAGGCGAUACGGUUAAUAACCGUGUUGAUUGACGUUACCCGCAGAAGAAGCACCGGCUAACUCCGUGCCAGCAGCCGCGGUAAUACGGAGGGUGCAAGCGUUAAUCGGAAUUACUGGGCGUAAAGCGCACGCAGGCGGUCUGUCAAGUCGGAUGUGAAAUCCCCGGGCUCAACCUGGGAACUGCAUUCGAAACUGGCAGGCUUGAGUCUUGUAGAGGGGGGUAGAAUUCCAGGUGUAGCGGUGAAAUGCGUAGAGAUCUGGAGGAAUACCGGUGGCGAAGGCGGCCCCCUGGACAAAGACUGACGCUCAGGUGCGAAAGCGUGGGGAGCAAACAGGAUUAGAACCCCGGUAGUCCCAUGA
rnacentral:rRNA from 1 species